rnacentral:rRNA from 1 species
AACGUAGGUGGCGAGCGUUAUCCGGAUUUACUGGGCGUAAAGCGCGUGUAGGCGGCUCGGAAAGUCGGAUGUGAAAGCCCUGGGCUUAACCUAGGAAGUGCAUUCGAAACUCCCGAGCUUGAGUUCUGGAGAGGAAGGCGGAAUUCUCGGUGUAGAGGUGAAAUUCGUAGAUAUCGAGAGGAACACCGGUGGCGAAGGCGGCCUCUGGACAGUGACUGACGCUG